rnacentral:rRNA from 1 species
UACGAAGGGGGGCUAGCGUUGCUCGGAAUUACUGGGCGUAAAGGGAGCGUAGGCGGACAUUUAAGUCAGAGGUGAAAUCCCGGAGCUUAACUUCGGAACUGCCUUUGAUACUGGGUGUCUUGAGUGUGAGAGAGGUAUGUGGAACUCCGAGUGUAGAGGUGAAAUUCGUAGAUAUUCGGAAGAACACCAGUGGCGAAGGGCGGCUCACUGGACGACUGAUGACGCUGGAGGUGCGGAAAAGCGUGGGGAGCAAACAGG